GCGGGCUCUGCUUUCUUGGCAGGCUCGGGCUUCUUAGCGUCCUUCUUGGGUGCCAUUUUUUUAGUCUAUUUGUCCGCCGGGAGGGAAGUCAACACAGGGAGUGGACCACAGCUUGGAGGAUACUCAGCAUUCUCAAUCCUGGACUCUUGGGAAAGGGAGUUAGUGGAGUCUGAAAGUCUUGAGGAGGCCUCAGCUGCUGAUGCCCGUUACCCCUCAAAGCGCACAGAUUGUGGUCCCCCAGCUGUCAUCAGGGCUCACCCCUGCUGACUAGAAGCACCUUCUCUAAAAACCUGCCCCCAUCCACCUGCCUAUCAGAACCAACAACCCCCUCUCCAGCUCUUAAUGAUUUUAACAGCUAAUUCACUUUUAGCCUACUUGGUUAUUUGGCAUGGUUGUUGGGAUGGGGAGGAGUCAUUAAGUUUGAUGGAAGACACAAGACGUCUCAAGAUAACUUCUCUAAUAUGCAGAAGGUUUGGCGUACCAUACAUUUUUGGCCUUCAUUACAAACCUUUUUUGUUGUUUUUUGUUGUAUUUUCCUAUCAAAAUAAUAAAUGAUAAACAAUAUCUUAAGCACCACCCCCAGUCAACAUGUAUACAUUCAUGGUUAUUUUAAUUACUAAUCAUAAUCAGUAAUCAUAUUUAAUUACUAUCGUCUUACAAUGCUAAGUUAAACAAAUUUCAUAUUAUAAUGCAGUAAAAAUACUAUGGUGAUUCUAUUCCCAAGGUGUCUGUAGAGAAUAUUUACAAUAACAUAUUGAUUUUGAUAGGUGUCUCUCACAUUAUCCCACAGAUUAGGGUACAAUGUUUUAUAAUAAUAGUUUAUUCUAUUUAGUGCCCUUUGCAUUCAUUUAACAUAUUUAGAUUGGAGACAUCCAAGUUAUUUGACAUAUUUGAAUAGUUACAUUCUCUUGUACUUAGUUACUUUUAUAAAGAUGUAACUAUUUGUUAGAAGUAACUAGUAACUAUAACUAAUACAUUUUUUAAAGUAACAUGCUCUACUCUGGUGGGGACCGAAACUGUUUAGCCACCAAAGAACAUGAGGCUGAGUAAAUGAUGACAUAAUACAAAAUUUUAGGGAGGACUAUCACUUUAAUGUUAACUGAAGCAUAGUAAAAUGACACAGCAUACUGUAAACCAAUAGUAUAAACACCUGUGCCUGUUUUACGUCAUUAAAUCAUAUGUUUUCAGUGAUGUAUCAUGUGAUCUACACAAGAAUAUCCUGUUUUCCAAAACAACCCCCGAGAGCUUUCCAAACAUAAGUGAAGCUUCAUUAUAAAACUUCAUCAUAAACAUGCUUCUCCAACUUAGAUAUGAAAACAUCCCCUUCUGACUCUCCUAAAAACUUCACAAGCUAUGCUAAUGAGGCAAGCAAGCUUACACCCAUCAUACAGUUGAAAGCCUGCAGGGUGUCAUGUCAAAGUGACGCACAUCUCUGGAUUAAUUUAGGAUCGUUUUAAGAGAGCAACAGGGAAGAUGUGCCAACCAUGAAGGAGGAGACAGGCACUCCAAGGAGAGGUGAAAAGGUCUUACGGUGAAACACUUCUCCAUGUGUGGCUGAGGAAAUUACAAUGUUUUUCUUCGAUAGCAUACAUUUUCUAGCCAAUAAAUAACAUGCUAUACUUAUUUUGUGUGUAAAAUCUUUGGUUAAACUGAGCUCUUUGUGGGGUCAUUUUUUAAUACUGUCAUUAGUUCAAGUUGUAACUAUGACUGAAACGUCACAUAAAGUGAAGUGAUUAGUACAGAGUGUCUAAAUAUAUUGAAAAACUAACUGAGACAUUAGUCGCUGGUGUCUUAUAACAUUAAGAUAUGGGUCACUGUUUUCGAGAACAUCUCCUUUAGGUUUUCAACCAGUGUGUUUCUUCUCACAGGCCACCUAUCUCAUAUAGACAGCCUGUUAAAGAAUUAAAGAGAUUUUAAAGGACAAACUGUGUUCUGGUGAAGGAAACGUGGUGCUGCAGUCGUAAGAAUGGAGCGGGAAGUGAGUGGCGUUAUUUUCAGAUAACCUUAAGGCAGAGCAACAGAAGCAUUCUGACUUAGAGGUCACAGAUUCUGCAUAGUUCAGACCUCUGUGAUUCUGAUGUGAGCCCCCCAUAACUAACAGUGCCACUCACCCUCCUGGACUUCUUACUAAUUCCAUAAGGAAUGGGAUUGUAACUUAGCCCCUGGACAGAUGGGCCCUAUUUAUAGGCCUUCCUGAAGAGGUGCGAAGUUUUCUUGGGAUCUCUCUGACGGGGGGCCACAACUCCUUAAGGGGGUUGAUUGAGCGUCACCUGCCUAUCCCUUAAAGCCGUCUCAGACAGAUUAUAAAGGGUACAGCUAAACAAAGCGGCACACAGCCUUGGAAAGUGACUGUAACUCCCAGUGAGGGUCUCCAAGCAGCCCUUACUGUUACAGAAUAUCUAUUAUAGUUCCUUGGAAUUGCUGUCCAUGAUUCCACGUCACUAAAGAGGCCUGCCCAUCACUCCUGGUUCAAGUGUUGAGAUGGUAUUAAAUACAAAGUAAUCGUUUGCAUAUCCUGGAGGCUGCUAGAAUGUUCUAGUGCUGCAAUAGAUAUCCUGAGAUGUGGACGAACUGUUCAGCAUGAUAAAAAAAAAAACAAAUGAAAAAAAAACCAAACAAUGUCAGGCCCCAAAUGUCAUCCAUAAAUGUAAAUAAUAAAUAAAUGCUGUUUAUUUAUCUGAAUAUUUACAUAUUUAUAAGGGUGUCUGAAAUAGAUUCCUCUCUAAAAUAUUAAUAAAAAAUUGUUAAAUAUUGAAAAA